CGUAGGGUGCAAGCGUUAAUCGGAAUUACUGGGCGUAAAGCGUGCGCAGGCGGUUAUAUAAGACAGUUGUGAAAUCCCCGGGCUCAACCUGGGACUGCAUCUGUGACUGUAUAGCUAGAGUACGGUAGAGGGGGAGUGGAAUUCCGCGUGUAGCAGUGAAAUGCGUAGAUAUGCGGAGGAACACCGAUGGCGAAGGCAAUCCCCUGGACCUGUACUGACGCUCAUGCACGAAAGACGUGGGGGAGCAAACAGGAUU
rnacentral:rRNA from 1 species